UACGUAGGGGGCGAGCGUUGUCCGGAAUCAUUGGGCGUAAAGAGCGUGUAGGUGGACUGGAAGGUCUGGUGUGAAAGCCCGGGGCUCAACCCCGGAGGGUCACUGGAAACCAACAGUCUUGAGUCCGGAAGAGGAGAGUGGAAUUCCUGGUGUAGCGGUGGAAUGCGCAGAUAUCAGGAGGAACACCAAUGGCGAAGGCAGCUCUCUGGUACGUGA
rnacentral:rRNA from 1 species